CCUACGGGGGGCAGCAGUGAGGAAUAUUGGUCAAUGGCCGGGAGGCUGAACCAGCCAAGUCGCGUGAGGGAAGACGGCCCUACGGGUUGUAAACCUCUUUUGUCAGGGAGUAAGGUGCAGGUCGGGACCUGCUGUGAGAGUACCUGAAGAAAAAGCAUCGGCUAACUCCGUGCCAGCAGCCGCGGUAAUACGGAGGAUGCGAGCGUUAUCCGGAUUUAUUGGGUUUAAAGGGUGCGCAGGCGGAGGCACAAGUCAGCGGUAAAAUGGCGGGGCUCAACCCCACACCGCCGUUGAAACUGUGUACCGUGAAGGCGAGAAGGGUAGGCGGAAUGCGGGGGGUAGCGGUGAAAUGCAUAGAUA
rnacentral:rRNA from 1 species